ACACUUACAUUGCAGGGAAGAUACCAUGAUCACAAAGGUGGUUUUUGAAGGCUGAGGCUUAUCCUUUGCCCUCCGGAUAUAGUGACCCCUGCUAUAUUCCCAAGUGUGGGCAACUGGACUGCAUGAUUUGUGGUAAAAGGGGACUGCAUUUGUGCUCUCCCCUG
ensembl:snRNA U1 U1 spliceosomal RNA